rnacentral:misc_RNA from 1 species
GAUGAAGAACGCAGCGAAAUGCGAUAAGUAAUGUGAAUUGCAGAAUUCAGUUAAUCAUCGAAUCUUUGAACGCACAUUGCGCCCGCCAGUAUUCUGGCGGGCAUGCCUGUCUGAGCGUCAUUUCAACCCUCAUGCCCCUAGGGCGUGGUGUUGGGGAUCGGCCAAAGCCCGCGAGGGACGGCCGGCCCCUAAAUCUAGUGGCGGACCCGUCGUGGCCUCCUCUGCGAAGUAGUGAUAUUCCGCAUCGGAGAGCGACGAGCCCCUGCCGUUAAACCCCCAACUUUCCAAGGUUGACCUCAGAUCAGGUAGGAAUACCCGCUGAACUUAAGCAUAUCAAUAAGCGGAGGA